rnacentral:rRNA from 1 species
AUUGAACGCUGGCGGCAGGCCUAACACAUGCAAGUCGAGCGGAUGAAGGGAGCUUGCUCCUGGAUUCAGCGGCGGACGGGUGAGUAAUGCCCAGGAAUCUGCCUGGUAGUGGGGGAUAACGUCCGGAAACGGGCGCUAAUACCGCAUACGUCCUGAGGGUGAAAGAGGGGGAUCUUCGGGCCGCACGCUAUCAGAUGAGCCUAGGUCGGAUUAGCUAGUUGGUCGGGUAAAGGCCUACUAGGGGGACGAUCCGUAACUGGACUGAGAGGAUGAUCAGUCACACUGGAACGGGGCCAGGGUCCAGACGCCUAAGGGAGGCAGCAGUGGGGAACAUUGGACAAUGGGCGAAAGCCUGAUCCAGCGAUGCCGCGUGUGUGAAGAAGAUCUUCGGAUUGGAAAGCCCUUUAAGUUGGGAGGAAGGGCAGUAAGUUAAUACCUUGCUGUUUUGACGUUACCAACAGAAUAAGCACCGGCUAACUUCGUG